UACAGAGGGGGCAAGCGUUAUUCGGAAUUAUUGGGCGUAAAGGGCGCGUAGGCGGCCUGGCAAGUGGAAGGUGAAAUCCCUCGGCUUAACCGAGGAACUGCCCUCCAAACUGCUUGGCUUGAGACCGGGAGAGGUGAGUGGAAUUCCCAGUGUAGCGGUGAAAUGCGUAGAUAUUGGGAGGAACACCAGUGGCGAAGGCGGCUCACUGGACCGGUACUGACGCUGAGGCGCGAAAGCGUGGGGAGCAAAGCGGGG
rnacentral:rRNA from 1 species